rnacentral:rRNA from 1 species
UACGGAGGGUGCAAGCGUUAUCCGGAUUCACUGGGUUUAAAGGGUGCGUAGGCGGAUUCUUAAGUCCGUGGUGAAAUCUCCAGCUUAACUUGGAAACUGCCAUGGAUACUAUUAGUCUUGAAUGUUGUGGAGGUUAGCGGAAUAUGUCAUGUAGCGGUGAAAUGCAUAGAUAUGACAUAGAACACCAAUUGCGAAGGCAGCUGGCUACACAAAUAUUGACGCUGAGGCACGAAAGCGUGGGGAUCAAACAGG